GAACGCCCCGCAAGGGGAGUGGCGGACGGGUGAGUAACGCGUGGGAACCUGCCCUAUGGUUCGGGAUAACUCGGCGAAAGCCGUGCUAAUACCGGACGUGUCCUGAGGGAGAAAGAUUUAUCGCCACAGGAGGGGCCCGCGUCGGAUUAGCUAGUUGGUGGGGUAACGGCCUACCAAGGCGAUGAUCCGUAGCUGGUCUGAGAGGAUGAUCAGCCACACUGGGACUGAGACACGGCCCAGACUCCUACGGGAGGCAGCAGUGGGGAAUAUUGGACAAUGGGGGCAACCCUGAUCCAGCAAUGCCGCGUGAGUGAUGAAGGCCUUAGGGUUGUAAAGCUCUUUUGGCAGGGACGAUGAUGACGGUACCUGCAGAAUAAGCCCCGGCUAACUUCGUG
rnacentral:rRNA from 1 species